GCCUACAUACUUAAGGAGAAUAUUGAUCUAUGUGCACAUUGAUACUAUAUAUAAGGCAAGCAAUCGCUAAAGUGAUUCACUUUGAAUCGAGCUGAUUACAGAAAUCAAAAUGGGAAAACUCGUGCUCGUUUGUUUUGCGCUUCUCGCAAUGACUGUAGUCAUGGCCUGCAAGGGACCUGGAGUGCCCUGCACACUUGACGACGAAUGUUGCGGAGCAUUUGCCUGUAAUCCGUGGGCUGGUCGUUGCACCGGGGGAAAACCGGGAUCACCGGGAGCAGCGGGGGGAUCCCCCUGGGGACCUGAAGGCCCGGGCCCGGAUGUAGAAUUUCCAGUCAAAAAAUCUAAACCUGCUCAAUAAUCAUAAAUGAUAGUUCGGCCUGGACUUUGUUGCAUGGAACUAUGACUUGAUUUUGCACAAUAUGCAUUCAAUUUUAAACUAUGUGCAAAUUUAUAUAACAAUUAGAAAUAUAUAUCUGCUUAGUCAUUACGCAGCAAAAUA
rnacentral:lncRNA from 13 species